GGGGCUGACCGGAAUCGACAGGUAAGCGCACUGAUUAGUAAGCAUGUCGGAGCAAGAUAAUUCACUCCGUUAACAAAUGAUUAUCGAAACUUUUUAUAUGGCGAGAAUACUUUCGCUUUGGCUGCUUAAUUCAAGGAAUUAAGUGCCUUUGUGCCCACGUUUGAUGCCUGAUACACAUCGUGCCGCACAUCAUAACCCUCAGGCUGGAUGGCUGAAGUGAUUAGACCGGACAUCAAGAUAAAUAAUCUAAGGAUUUACUAAAGGUGUGCUUGGAGACCUUGGUAUCUCCCGACAAUCAAACGCUAAGCUAAACAUGUAGAAAGCUCUUUGGUACUUUCUCUGGACGAGGGUUCGAAUCCCUCCAGCUCCACUA
rnacentral:tmRNA from 1 species